UAUGUCAGUCCCAAAAACUACGAAGUCACCAAACCAAGGGCCUGUUAGUGGAUACUCUGAUACAAGGUGGACUCCACCCCGAAAAACUUCAAAAAAAUCUCCACCAAGAUCCCAAGCGGCUAAUGGUAGGAAUCAAGACUUUGUGGGGCCUCAAAAUUUGCACCUCUAAUGAAUAUUAAUGUUGGAGAUGUUGGAGAUACCCAGUUAAUGGACUUUCAGUAGACAUCCGGAGACAAGGCUGAAUUGGUUGGGCCAUCUCAUAUUAAGGAGAAGAGGAAGAGAUCCCCACCUAAGCUAGUGACACAGUGGAAAUCACCAGGUUCUGAUUCACCACCUCAAUCCGAAGUCCUUGUGGUAGAAGAGGAGCAAAAUGAAACAAAGGGGAACAGUGGGCAGUCUGAGUCUUCCUCAAAUAAACAUAAGUCAGCAAUCACCAAAGUUUGGAAGCCAGUGGGAGGAGUCACGGGGACUUCUCUAACAAUGGGAAUGGAGGAUCACAAUACUCAAUUGGUGUCAUACUCGGAGGAUCGACGACCUCAAGAUCUCCAAUCAGGUGCUUUAUUGGUCUUCCAAACCUUUACAUCUUUUGAAUAUUCUGCGACUGAUUGGAAGGGAUGAUUGUUAUGGAGCCUUGUGGAGCAGGCAUUUUAGCAAAUAGAAAAGCACAUUACAGGGGAGUAUGGCUAUCUGGAAAGCUGCUAUCUUCCUACUUGUCUCAAAUUACUUACGCUUGGUUUGGUCUGUAUUAAAAUAUUUCUAUCGGUGUGUGGACAUGUAAGCUGGAGAUGACACUGUCUAUUUUGGAUCUCUGUACUUUGUUUCUUAUUUAAUGCUUUUCUACCAAAAAAAAAAAAAAAAAGGCAAAA